GCUACACAUGCAGUCGAGCGGUAACAGGAGAAGCUUGCUUCUCGCUGACGAGCGGCGGACGGGUGAGUAAUACUUAGGAAUCUACCUAGUAGUGGGGGAUAGCACGGGGAAACUCGUAUUAAUACCGCAUACGACCUACGGGAGAAAGGGGGCAGUUUACUGCUCUCGCUAUUAGAUGAGCCUAAGUCGGAUUAGCUAGAUGGUGGGGUAAAGGCCUACCAUGGCGACGAUCUGUAGCUGGUCUGAGAGGAUGAUCAGCCACACCGGGACUGAGACACGGCCCGGACUCCUACGGGAGGCAGCAGUGGGGAAUAUUGGACAAUGGGGGAAACCCUGAUCCAGCCAUGCCGCGUGUGUGAAGAAGGCCUUUUGGUUGUAAAGCACUUUAAGCAGUGAAGAAGACUCCAUGGUUAAUACCCAUGGACGAUGACAUUAGCUGCAGAAUAAGCACCGGCUAACUCUGUGCCNGCAGCCGCGGUAAUACAGAGGGUGCAAGCGUUAAUCGGAAUUACUG
rnacentral:rRNA from 1 species